GAUGAACGCUGGCGGCGUGCCUAAUACAUGCAAGUCGAGCGAACAGACGAGGAGCUUGCUCCUCGGACGUGAGCGGCGGACGGGUGAGUAACACGUGUAUCACCUACCUGUAAGACUGGGAUAACUUCGGGAAACCGGAGCAAAUACCGGAUAAGAUAUUGAACCACGGGGGUGAAUGGAAAAAGACGGUUGUGCGGGAACUAAUCGCGGCAUCCGCGCCGCAUGAGCUAGUUGGUAAGGUAACAGCUUACAAAGGGAACGAGGCGUGGCCGACGUGAGAGGGUGAUCGGCCACACUGGAACUGAGCCACGGUCAAGACUCCUACGGGAGGCAGCAGUAGGGAAUGUUCCGCAGUGGGCGAAAGCCUUACAGAGCAACGCCGCGUGUGUGAUGAAGGUCUUCGGAGCGUAAAACUCUGUUAUUAGGGAAGAACAACUUUGUACGUAAAUAUGCCCGUAUUGACGGUACCUAAUCAGAAAGCAACGGCUAACUACGUG
rnacentral:rRNA from 1 species